UUGUCGCGACCACUGUGCACCCGAUGCACAC
rnacentral:sRNA from 1 species